rnacentral:rRNA from 1 species
AGUGAACGCUGGCGGUAGGCCUAACACAUGCAAGUCGAACGGCAGCACAGUAAGAGCUUGCUCUUACGGGUGGCGAGUGGCGGACGGGUGAGGAAUACAUCGGAAUCUACUUUUUCGUGGGGGUUAAGGAAGGAAACUUUACCCAAUAACGGAAACGACCUUCGGGUGGAAGGAGGGGGACUUUCGAACCUGCGCGGUUUGAUGAAGCGAUGUCGGAUUAGCUAGUUGGCGGGGUAAAGGCCCACCAAGGCGACGAUCCGUAGCUGGUCUGAGAGGAUGAUCAGCCACACUGGAACUGAGACACGGUCCAGACUCCUACGGGAGGCAGCAGUGGGGAAUAUUGGACAAUGGGCGCAAGCCUGAUCCAGCCAUACCGCGUGGAUGAAGAAGGCCUUCGGGUUGUAAAGCCCUUUUGUUGGGAAAGAAAAGCAGCAGGUUAAUACCCCGCUGUUCUGACGGUACCCAAAGAAUAAGCACCGGCUAACUUCGUG